rfam:Ictidomys tridecemlineatus contig012882, whole genome shotgun sequence.
GGAUGCAAGGGCCAUCUGGCUGCCUAACUGUCCCUCCAUUGAUCUCCAGGAUUGAUUUGACUGAUCUGAGUGGUUUAGGUGAGUGUCCCCUUCUUACCUUGCUGUUUCUUGUGUAUCCCUCACAAAGCUAUGCUUUCAGUGGAAGAGGAUGGCUUUCUGGAUAGAGGAGGAUCAGUCUUCCAUCAAGGGUACACAAGGCUCCAAACAAGCUCUCAUGGUCCAUUUACAUCAUCGUUGCCCUUUGUGACAAGUGCCAUCUU